AUGAGUUUCCCACUUCCAUCCCAUGUUUUCUUAUCUCCUUGCAGUUAUCCAAGAGGGAUGCGGUCCCUGCACCUCUGCCUCUCUUCCGUCCCAGCUGAAGCAGAUUGCAUUUAACCUGAAGCAGUGUUAAGAUGUGCUUCCCCUGGACUUGAACUUUCCACGUCAGUGUGGCAGCUGACGGAAGCAAGGCAGUGUCUGAGCUUUAGAAGCCUGAGGAUGUGAAGAAAGCAGAAAACUGUAUACCUGUUUACUCUGACCUCUUUCCCUGGCACAAUGUCUCAGCCCUCCACAAACUCAGGAAACCACCAAGGAAUUUCAAACAUGGAACUGAUGAUGUUGUUACUCAACCAGACCCAUUUUGCCUGCUGUGUCGUGUACCAAUCACUGAGAUAACAAGUUUUACAGUGGUGGAAGUGUGUAUUCAUGUAGCGGCCAAACAAGGAGAUGAGAGAACAGGUCUCAAAUCUACCUCUCCAAAGAUGGGGUUUAGGGAUAUUUAUGAGAUAGAGGAGCAGGGUGGUCUGAGGCAUGGGGGAGGGUGAUUGCAGGUUAGAAAAAAUGAGGUAAUCAGUGUUCUGCACAAGGGUAAACUUUAUAGCUCUUCUUAGGAUGUGUUUUUGAAAAAUGGCAGCAUUGGCAUGAUCUGAGGGUGAAGCCUUCUGCCCUCUGACAUCAAAAGGUCACCCAUCGUUCAUCCAGGCCCAGGUGAUAGGUCAGUAGUAUCAGCUGGCAUGAAUGACUUAAGAGCUGAUGCUGAGUUCCUGAAAAACACCUUAGGAAACCAUCACCAUCAUUACCCACACUUCAGAGAUGCUAUCUAUGGGGAAGCAGAAGGGAGUCUUACCAUACACUGCUUAGCUACAUA
rnacentral:lncRNA from 10 species